UCGAUAAAUUAAUAAACACGAU
rnacentral:snRNA from 1 species